UUUACCUUUUUCGGUUUUAGGUACCUCCUCCAGGUAAAGGAGCUUUGUAUAUUAGGCCUCUACUCAUAGGUACUGGUGCUGUCCUUGGAAUAGCUUCAGCUCCUGAAUAUACGUUCCUCAUUUACACAUCUCCCGUAGGAAAUUAUCACAAGGUGAGUUUGUUUGUUAUUCAAAUACUUGGUCAAGUAAACUCGGUCUAAUAUUUCAAAUAGUGAUCAAAUCUGUAUGUGAAAGGAAAAAAAUGUGGGCUCUAAAAUAUUUUAAAUAAAUGUUACCUUUUUGUGGACCAUGUCCUCUAGCACUUCUGACACAGGCUCAAAUAUGGCCAUAUGCUGCCUAAAGAUUCCUUAAUUUGAGACUCUUAACUGGUUUGUCUGUCUUGUAGGCAAGCUCAGGCUUGAACCUCAAAGUUGAUCAUAACCAUCGCCGAGCCCACUUUGGUGGAACAGGUGGUGUGAAGAGCUGCACAAAUUAUUCUCCAGUAAGUAAUAAAGAGACACCAUAGAUAUAUAGAUGGCCAGGUUAAUGAAUAUCUAAAUCAUGGUUUCUUCUUGUAUGAAAUUUGGAAGGUUGUGAAAUCGUUGAUCGAAGCAAAGUCAUCGGGUUUCUCUGAUGUCUUGUUCCUGGAUGCGGCAACUGGUAAAAACAUCGAAGAGGUUUCUACUUGUAACAUCUUCAUUCUAAAGGGAAACAUUGUAUCCACUCCACCAACUUCAGGAACCAUUUUACCAGGAAUCACAAGGAAAAGCAUAAGUGAGCUAGCUCGUGAUAUUGGCUACCAGGUUCAAGAACGCGAUGUUUCUGUGGAUGAGCUAUUAGAGGCAGAAGAAGUUUUCUGCACUGGGACAGCAAUGGUCGUUAAAGCUGUUGAAACCGUGACUUACCAUGACAAAAGGUGAUGAAUUUAACAAAAAUACAAACUUGAAAGACCAUUUCUUCAAACCUUUAGUCUUUCUGCGGGUUACUUAACAUUGAUUUUGGGUCAUAUCUAUCUUUUGACCACAGGGUAAAAUAUAGAACAGGAGAAGAAGCAUUGUCUACGAAGCUUCACUUGAUAUUAACCAAUAUUCAAAUGGGAGUUGUCGAAGAUAAGAAGGGUUGGAUUGUGGAAAUCGAUCAUUUUACUGUAACAGAUUCGUUUCCUGAUGAAAUAGAAGGAAAAUAAAGAAAACGGAAUUCAAAGAAGAAAGAAGCACGAAGA